rfam:Triticum aestivum genome assembly, contig: Triticum_aestivum_CS42_TGACv1_scaffold_640959_T_7BL-0.163756_6BS-0.137132
CAUAGUAUUCCGCUGUCCGAAAAUACUUGUCAUUAAAAUGAAUAAAAGAAGAUGUAUCUAGAACAAAAAUACAUCUAGAUACAUCCUCUUUUAUCUAUUUUGAUGACAAGUAUUUCCGGACGGAGGGAGAGUAUA